AUGGCCGGGAUGUGCCGGCGGGCGGCCGUGACCCUGCUGGAGUGCGGGGAGGACCUCCAGCCACCCGGGGGGUCCCUGACUCUGCUCUGCCGUGGGAACGGAUUCAAUUUUGGGGGCUACGGAAUGAGCUGGGUGCGUCAGAGCCCUGGGAAGGCGCUGGAAUUAAUUGCAUGGAUCGACAGCAAUGGUGGCAGCACCUACUACGUGUCAUCGGUCAAGGGCCGGUUCUCGAUCUCCAGGGACAACGGGCAGAGCUCGGUGACGCUGACCAUGAACAACCUCAAGGACGAGGAUUCCGCCGUUUAUUUCUGUGCCAAAUGUGCUGACAGUUGUUGUUGCAGUGCUGCUGCUGCUGGUAGUGCUGGUUAUAUUGACGACGCCAGUUACUAUCCCAAGUCCGCAUUGCUGGGUUCCCCAAUACCCCAGAAUUCGCAAAUUCUUACCUUCAUAUCUUGA